UGGGGAAUAUUGGACAAUGGGCGCAAGCCUGAUCCAGCCAUGCCGCGUGAGUGAUGAAGGCCCUAGGGUUGUAAAGCUCUUUCACCGGUGAAGAUAAUGACGGUAACCGUAGAAGAAGCCCCGGCUAACUUCGUGCCUGCAGCCGCGGUAAUACGAAGGGGGCUAGCGUUGUUCGGAUUUACUGGGCGUAAAGCGCACGUAGGCGGACUAUUAAGUCAGGGGUGAAAUCCCGGGGCUCAACCCCGGAACUGCCUUUGAUACUGGUAGUCUUGAGUUCGAGAGAGGUGAGUGGAAUUCCGAGUGUAGAGGUGAAAUUCGUAGAUAUUCGGAGGAACACCAGUGGCGAAGGCGGCUCACUGGCUAGAUACUGAAGCUGAGGUGCGAAAGCGUGGGGAGCAAACAGG
rnacentral:rRNA from 1 species